UGUGAUGUCUAAAUGAUUUAUUUUUAGGCCAUAAUCCUGUCACCUUAGGUCGAUCGGUACCUCACUUUAAUAACAAUAAACUAAUAAAUUAGUAUAUUAAAUUAUUAAAUUCAGUUCCUAAACUUUGUCUAGGUCACACCCAGCAAGGGUUCUCCUGGGCCAUUAGCUCAGGUGGUUAGAGCGCACCCCUGAUAAGAGUGAGGUCCCUGGUUCAAGUCCAGGAUGGCCCAUUCGGUGUUGGGGGUAUAGCUCAGUUGGUAGAGCGCCUGCUUUGCAAGCAGGAUGUCAGCGGUUCGAGUCCGCUUACCUCCACUGAUCCACCUCCUGAUGGCGAAGCUUAGGGAGAUUUUUUUGUGUUUGUGAUCUAGAUUUGUUCUAAGAGAAUGAACCUAGCUUCUUGUCAAUAAGACUAAAAUUCUUUUUAGCUUGAUUGAUAGGACGCUGGGCUCACUGCAAUUUCAAUUGCAGUGUUCUUCAGUAGAACCUUGACAACUGCAUAGUGAGUCUGGAAAAAAUAAAGCAUCUCAUGGAUGCAUUAUUUUGAAAGAAGAAUUAAGAACUAAUUUCUAGAACUUAAUUCUGAUUUCACAAAUAAUGUUUAAUUCUUGAGCAAGAGCCGAGACUCUAUGAU
rnacentral:tRNA from 1 species